UUUCUGUGAUGAAUCCAACUAGCUCACUAUGACUCACAGUGAAAACAUCUGAACACCUGAGAAGC